UCUAAUUCUUAUGGGUUUGUUGAGUUUGUAUUGGAAAGAACAUAAAUUUUUUCAUGGUUCAGUAAUACUAAUGGAUAGUUCUUGCAUUCCUACUUUACAGACAUGAAGGGAGUUUCAGAAACCAUUCAUUUAAACCAGUUUUACAAGAUGAAAACUGCCUCCUCUUUCCUACACCCAGUCUGGAGCAAGCUUGAUAACUGUGCACAGUUUCAGUGACAAGAGUGAGCUUCCCCAAAGCUAUGUAGCCUGUGACUUUGAUUCAUUCUGAUUUGCCUUCUGCUCUUCCAGAAGAAAAUAGUCACAUUGCCAUGGAAGUAGUUGCAAUGGAGUUUGCUCUUCUGGGGAAGACAUGGAUAUUGUCACCUGGAGAUCAGAAGAGUUGUGAUCAUGUAUAUGAGACCCUUACAAGGUUGGGCCCUAAGUGUCAAGAAGUGUA